CUUGAUUCCUGUGCAUAUUCUUCAACUAUCAUCUCUCUGUGUGCUGUGAAUCAGGCGAUUGUGUAGUUGUUCUGUAGUCUGUUUCAGAGGUAUUUGUUUAAGGAUUAUAUAAGUGUGAGGUUCUUUUCUAUUUUGCUUGGCAUAUACUCAUAAAAGAUCCAGAUUUCCCUUUAAGAGGAAGAUGACGAUUGAAAACAUUACAGCUAACAUAGG